ACGCUGAAGGCAUCUAAGCGUGAAACUCUCCCUAAGAUAAGAUCUCCACUGAGGCUCGACGUAGACUAUGUCGUUGAUAGGUCAGAGGUGGAAGCGCAGUAAUGUGUGUAGCUGACUGAUACUAAUAAGCCGAAAGCUUGAUCUA
rnacentral:rRNA from 1 species